rnacentral:rRNA from 1 species
GUGGGGAAUCUUGCGCAAUGGGCGAAAGCCUGACGCAGCCAUGCCGCGUGAAUGAUGAAGGUCUUAGGAUUGUAAAAUUCUUUCACCGGGGACGAUAAUGACGGUACCCGGAGAAGAAGCUCCGGUUAACUUCGUGCCAGCAGCCGCGGUAAUACGAAGGGGGCUAGCGUUGCUCGGAAUUACUGGGCGUAAAGGGCGCGUAGGCGGACAGCUUAGUCAGAGGUGAAAGCCCAGGGCUCAACCUUGGAAUUGCCUUUGAUACUGGCUGUCUUGAGUUUGGGAGAGGUGAGUGGAACUCCGAGUGUAGAGGUGAAAUUCGUAGAUAUUCGGAAGAACACCAGUGGCGAAGGCGACUCACUGGCCCAAUACUGACGCUGAGGCGCGAAAGCGUGGGGAGCAAACAGGAUUAGAUACCCCGGUAGUCC